rnacentral:rRNA from 1 species
CGCUGGCGGCGUGCCUAAUACAUGCAAGUCGAACGCACUCUCGUUUAGAUUGAAGGAGCUUGCUCUGAUUGAUAAACAUUUGAGUGAGUGGCGGACGGGUGAGUAACACGUGGGUAACCUGCCCUAAAGUGGGGGAUAACAUUUGGAAACAGAUGCUAAUACCGCAUAAAACCUAACACCGCAUGGUGUAGGGUUGAAAGAUGGUUUCGGCUAUCACUUUAGGAUGGACCCGCGGUGCAUUAGUUAGUUGGUGAGGUAAAGGCUCACCAAGACCGUGAUGCAUAGCCGACCUGAGAGGGUAAUCGGCCACACUGGGACUGAGACACGGCCCAGACUCCUACGGGAGGCAGCAGUAGGGAAUCUUCCACAAUGGACGAAAGUCUGAUGGAGCAACGCCGCGUGAGUGAAGAAGGUUUUCGGAUCGUAAAACUCUGUUGUUGGAGAAGAAUGUAUCUGAUAGUAACUGAUCAGGUAGUGACGGUAUCCAACCAGAAAGCCACGGCUAACUACGUG